rnacentral:rRNA from 1 species
UGGGUAACCUGCCCUUAACUCUGGGAUAAGCCUGGGAAACUGGGUCUAAUACCGGAUAUGACUCCUCAUCGCAUGGUGGGGGGUGGAAAGCUUUUUGUGGUUUUGGAUGGACUCGCGGCCUAUCAGCUUGUUGGUGAGGUAAUGGCUCACCAAGGCGACGACGGGUAGCUGGUCUGAGAGGAUGGCCAGCCACAUUGGGACUGAGACACGGCCCAGACUCCUACGGGAGCAG